rnacentral:rRNA from 1 species
AUUGAACGCUGGCGGCAGGCCUAACACAUGCAAGUCGAGCGAGCGGCGGACGGGUGGGUAUUAUCUGGGAACCUCCCUGUUGGAGGGGGAUAACAACUGGAAACGGUAGCUAAUACCGCAUACAAUCAAAUUUGCCCAGUGGGGAUUAGCUAGUAGGGGGGGUAACGGCUCACCUCGUCGACGCUCCCUAGCUGGUCUGAGAGGAUUACCAGCCACACUGGAACUUAGACACGGUCCAGACGCCUACGGGAGGCAGCAGUGGGGAAUAUUGCACAAUGGGCGCAAGCCUGAUGCAGCCAUGCCGCGUGUGUGAAGAAGGCCUUCGGGUUGUAAAGCACUUUCAGCGGGGAGGCGUUACCCGCAGAAGAAGCACCGGCUAACUCCGUGCCAGCAGCCGCGGUAAUUC